rnacentral:rRNA from 1 species
ACACAUGCAAGUCGAGCGGAGACAGUGAGUAGCUUGCUAUGAGCUGUUUUAGCGGCGGACGGGUGAGUAACGCGUGAGCAACCUUUCCCAGACAGGGGAAUAACACACCGAAAGGUGUACUAAUACCGCAUAAGACCACGGGAUCACAUGGUUCUGGGGUAAAAGAUUUAUCGGUUUGGGGUGGGCUCGCGUCCGAUUAGGUAGUUGGUGAGGUAACGGCCCACCAAGCCGACGAUCGGUAGCCGACCUGAGAGGGUGAUCGGCCACAUUGGGACUGAGACACGGCCCAAACUCCUACGGGAGGCAGCAGUGGGGAAUAUUGGGCAAUGGGGGGAACCCUGACCCAGCAACGCCGCGUGGAGGAAGAAGGUUUUCGGAUCGUAAACUCCUGUCCUUGGAGACGAGUAGAAGACGGUAUCCAAGGAGGAAGCCCCGGCUAACUACGUGCCAGCAGCCGCGGUAAUACGUAGGGGGCAAGCGUUGUCCGGAAUAAUUGGGCGUAAAGGGCGCGUAGGCGGCUCGGUAAGUCUGGAGUGAAAGUCCUGCUUUUAAGGUGGGAAUUGCUUUGGAUACUGUCGGGCUUGAGUGCAGGAGAGGUUAGUGGAAUUCCCAGUGUAGCGGUGAAAUGCGUAGAGAUUGGGAGGAACACCAGUGGCGAAGGCGACUAACUGGACUGUAACUGACGCUGAGGCGCGAAAGUGUGGGGAGCAAACAGGAUUAGAUACCCUGGUAGUCCACACUGUAAACGAUGAAUGCUAGGUGUAGGGGGUAUCGACCCCUUCUGUGCCGCAGUCAACACAAUAAGCAUUCCGCCUGGGGAGUACGGCCGCAAGGUUGAAACUCAAAGGAAUUGACGGGGGCCCGCACAAGCAGCGGAGCAUGUGGUUUAA